GACGAACGCUGGCGGCGUGCCUAAUACAUGCAAGUCGAACGAGUGGCGGACGGGUGAGUAAUGUCUGGGAAACUGCCUGAUGGAGGGGGUUAACUACUGGAAACUGUAGCUAAUACCGCCUACCAUCGGAUGUGCCCAGAUGGGAUUAGCUAGUGGGUGGGGUAAAGGCUCACCUAGGCGACGAUCCCUAGCUGGUCUGAGAGGAUGACCAGCCACACUGGAACUGAGACACGGUCCAGACUCCUACGGGAGGCAGCAGUGGGGAAUAUUGGACAAUGGGCGAAAGCCUGAUGCAGCCAUGCCGCGGGUAUGAAGAAGGCCUUCGGGUUGUAAAGUACUUUCAGCGGGGAGGCGUUACCCGCAGAAGAAGCACCGGCUAACUCCGUGCCAGCAGCCGCGGUAAUUC
rnacentral:rRNA from 1 species